UGCGGGGGGGGCAAGCGUUGUUCGGAAUUACUGGGCGUAAAGGGCUCGUAGGCGGCCAACUAAGUCGGACGUGAAAUCCCUCGGCUCAACUGGGGAACUGCGUCCGAUACUGGAUGGCUUGAGUUCGGGAGAGGGAUGUGGAAUUCCAGGUGUAGCGGUGAAAUGCGUAGAUAUCUGGAGGAACACCGGUGGCGAAGGCGGCAUCCUGGACCGACACUGACGCUGAUGAGCGAAAGCCAGGGGAGCAAACGGG
rnacentral:rRNA from 1 species